rnacentral:rRNA from 1 species
UGGGGAAUAUUGGACAAUGGGCGAAAGCCUGAUCCAGCCAUGCCGCGUGUGCGAAGAAGGUCUUCGGAUUGUAAAGCACUUUAAGUUGGGAGGAAGGGCAGUAAGCGAAUACCUUGCUGUUUUGACGUUACCGACAGAAUAAGCACCGGCUAACUCUGUGCCAGCAGCCGCGGUAAUACAGAGGGUGCAAGCGUUAAUCGGAAUUACUGGGCGUAAAGCGCGCGUAGGUGGUUCGUUAAGUUGAAUGUGAAAGCCCCGGGCUCAACCUGGGAACUGCAUCCAAAACUGGCGAGCUAGAGUAGGGCAGAGGGUGGUGGAAUUUCCUGUGUAGCGGUGAAAUGCGUAGAUAUAGGAAGGAUCACCAGUGGCGAAGGCGACCACCUGGGCUCAUACUGACACUGAGGUGCGAAAGCGUGGGGAGCAAACAGG